rnacentral:rRNA from 1 species
AUUGAACGCUGGCGGCAUGCCUUACACAUGCAAGUCGAACGGUAACAGGCCGCAAGGUGCUGACGAGUGGCGAACGGGUGAGUAAUGCAUCGGAACGUGCCCAGUAGUGGGGGAUAGCCCGGCGAAAGCCGGAUUAAUACCGCAUACGACCUGAGGGUGAAAGGGGGGGAUCGCAAGACCUCUCGCUAUUGGAGCGGCCGAUGUCAGAUUAGCUAGUUGGUGGGGUAAAGGCCUACCAAGGCAACGAUCUGUAGUUGGUCUGAGAGGACGACCAGCCACACUGGGACUGAGACACGGCCCUGACUCCUACGGGAGGCAGCAGUGGGGAAUUUUGGACAAUGGGCGCAGGCCUGAUCCAGCAAUGCCGCGUGCAGGAAGAAGGCCUUCGGGUUGUAAACUGCUUUUGUCAGGGAAGAAAUCUUCUGGGUUAAUACCUCGGGAGGAUGACGGUACCUGAAGAAUAAGCACCGGCUAACUACGUGCCAGCCGCCGCGGUAAAAC